AAACCUUGCCCUGCGCUGCGGCUGCGCAACAACGCGGGCUCAGUAGACCAGAGGAGAGGAGAAAGGAGGAGCAUGGCGCCGCCGCACGACCCGUGCCGCCCGUACAAGCGCCCGGCUAUCUCCGACCAGCAGCGCCGCCGGGAGCUCGCCCUCCAGGCGCAGUCCGCCCGCCGCGCCGACGCACAAGCGCGCGCCCGCACGCUUGCCAGCUCCCUCCUCCACUCCAUGACCCCUCCUGCAGCCACCCAUCACCACGAGGAUGAGCACGAGCAGGAGGAGGAGCACACCGUCGCUGACGUUGCCAACGCCGCCUCCAAGCUCCGUGGCUCCGACGCGCGCCGAUGGUUCGCCCGCCAGAUCAUGCUCCCUGAGUGGAUGGUCGACGCCCCUCACCACCUCGCCAGCGACUGGCAUGUUUUUGCCAGGCCUGCCGGCAAACGAUGCUUGGUUGUAUCAUCCAAUGGCAUGACGAUUAGCAGGGUUCGUAACGGAUCCAUCCUUCACCGAUUCCCUUCUGCUCUACCGAACGGAUCAAAGAGAGACAUCUCCGGCCCAGCAAGUUCGUACUCUAUCCUCGAUUGCAUAUUCCAUGAGGCUGAUGAAACAUACUAUAUCAUUGAUAUGAUCUGUUGGCGAGGCUAUUCUCUGUAUGAUUGCACCGCAGAGUUCAGGUUCUUCUGGGUAAACUCUAAGCUCACAGAAACUUCUGCUGGUGAUCCUCCAUCAACGUACCAUAGAUAUAGAUUCAGUGCCGUGCCUAUAUAUGAAUGCACUAUUGAAGGUCUUCAAACUGCAUACUCAGGGAGCACACCUUAUGUCAAAGAUGGCUUGCUGUUUUACAACAAACAUGCACACUAUCAAGCUGGAAUCACACCCCUUGCACUAGUAUGGAAAGAUGAGGCUUGUAGCCAGUAUGUUAUUGAUACAGACAGCAAGGGAGAAAUACCAAGUGAGCAACAUCUUGUGUUGGAGUUGCAAGAGGAUGGAAAGCUAAUUACUUCUGAUGACCCUCCUGUUGUAUUCGGUAGCUUGGACAACGAAUUCAUACAGAAGUCUAACCUACGACCUGGGAACCUUCUCCGCUUUGGUGUAAGAGAUGAGAGUGUGACACUUGUGGAUGGAAAGAUGCAGAUCGGUAAGCUGCAGUUUGUUGGAUGGCCAAAUCGUGCUCGUGCUUUUGCUGACAGCCAUUCGAAAGCUUUGUUCCAGUAUGCUGCAAGGCAUGUUCCUCUGAGAAUUGAGGAUCUGGUUGUCUCCAUUCAAUCAAAGAAUAUGGAGCUUGAAUCCACAGAUGUUGAAAUGCAAGAUUAAGAGUAUAGAUGUGCCAGUAUUUGCUGUUCGAUUGGAUUUAAGAAGGGGACUUUGUGAUCAAUUGAAACUUGUGCAACUGAAUGCGAAUGAGACCAAGGUCCGUCCCACUCCUGUUUCUAUGCGUUGUUGAGCUAGACACUUUACACGGGUGUUUUUUUCUAGCAUCACCCAAUACAUAUCAUUUUACAAAUAAAUUUCAGCGCAAGUAUUUUGAUGAAAUAUCCAUGUAUUCCCGUUUGGAACCUCGUCCGUACCAAGCCACAUACAAGGUUGAAGAUGCAGCAUUCAUGUCAAGAGUUCAGCAAAUGACGUGAUUGUCUGAAACCCGUGAUCUUCAGGGAGCGGGACGUUUCCAGGUCUGAUAGAUAUUAGUACCUCAAGACAAAAAAAAAAAAAUAUGUAUGAGUUUCUGAAAGAUGAGCAUUCUGAACAUUGACAUGUACAUGGAGGUGAUGUAUACUGUAACUCCAUUUGUGAAGUAUCGUUUGUCCUGAGCUUGCAAUGUAUGAAUGGCAAUUUCAGUAGAUGGAAAGUACCCAAAAAGGAAAUGUGUAUCGACAUGUUUUAUAUCUACGUAUUUACUCCCU